rnacentral:rRNA from 1 species
UACGUAGGGACCAAGCGUUGUUCGGAUUUACUGGGCGUAAAGGGCGCGUAGGCGGCGUGGUAAGUCACUUGUGAAAUCUCUGAGCUUAACUCAGAACGGCCAAGUGAUACUGCUGUGCUAGAGUGCAGAAGGGGCAAUCGGAAUUCUUGGUGUAGCGGUGAAAUGCGUAGAUAUCAGGAGGAACACCGAUGGCGAAGGCAGGUCUCUGGGCCACUACUGACGCUGAGAAGCGAAAGCAUGGGGAGCGAACAGG